rnacentral:rRNA from 1 species
UUCCAGACUCCUACGGGGGGCAGCAGUGAGGAAUAUUGGUCAAUGGGCGAGAGCCUGAACCAGCCAAGUCGCGUGAGGGAAGACGGUCCUAUGGAUUGUAAACCUCUUUUGUCGGGGAGCAAAAAGGCCUCGUGAGGCCACAAGUGAGAGUACCCGAAGAAAAAGCAUCGGCUAACUCCGUGCCAGCAGCCGCGGUAAUACGGAGGAUGCGAGCGUUAUCCGGAUUUAUUGGGUUUAAAGGGUGCGCAGGCGGAAUGUCAAGUCAGCGGUAAAAUUUCGGGGCUCAACCCCGUCGUGCCGUUGAAACUGGCGUUCUUGAGUGAGCGAGAAGUAUGCGGAAUGCGUGGUGUAGCGGUGAAAUGCAUAGAUAUCGCGCAGAACUCCGAUUGCGAAGGCAGCAUACCGGCGCUCAACUGACGCUCAUGCACGAAAGCGUGGGUAUCGAACAGGAUUAGAUACCCCAGUAUG